rnacentral:rRNA from 1 species
CAAAGGAAUUGACGGGGCCGCACAAGCGGUGGAGCAUGUGGUUAAUUCGAAGCAACGCGAAGAACCUUACCAGGUCUUGACAUCCCGAUGCUAUUUCUAGAGAUAGAAAGUUACUUCGGUACAUCGGUGACAGGGGGUGCAUGGUUGCGUCAGCUCGUGUCGUGAGAUGUUGGGUUAAGUCCCGCAACGAGCGCAACCCCUAUUGUUAGUUGCCAUCAUUCAGUUGGGCACUCUAGCGAGACUGCCGGUAAUAAACCGGAGGAAGGUGGGGAUGACGUCAAAUCAUCAUGCCCCUUAUGACCUGGGCUACACACGUGCUACAAUGGUUGGUACAACGAGUUGCGAGUCGGUGACGGCGAGCUAAUCUCUUAAAGCCAAUCUCAGUUCGGAUUGUAGGCUGCAACUCGCCUACAUGAAGUCGGAAUCGCUAGUAAUCGCGGAUCAGCACGCCGCGGUGAAUACGUUCCCGGGCCUU